rnacentral:rRNA from 1 species
CCUACGGGAGGCAGCAGUAGGGAAUCUUGCUCAAUGGGGGAAACCCUGAAGCAGCAACGCCGCGUGGAGGAUGAAGGUUUUCGGAUUGUAAACUCCUUUUGUUAGAGAAGAUAAUACCGGUAUGUAACUAUUCACCACCGGCUAAUUCCGUGCCAGCAGCCGCGGUCAUACGUAGGGUGCAAGCGUUACGCGGAAUCACUGGGGGUAAAGAGCGCGUAGGCGGGAUAGCAAGUCAGAUGUGAAAUCCUAUGGCUUAACCAUAGAACUGCAUUUGAAACUGUUAUACUAGAGUAUGGGAGAGGAAGGUGGAAUUCUAGGUGUAGGGGUAAAACGCGCAGAGAUCAAGAGGAAUACUCAUUGCGAAGGCGACCUGCUAGAAUGUAACUGACGCUGAUGCGCGAAAGCGUGGGGAGCAAACAGGAUUAGAUAUCCUUGUAGUC